CCCCCACCCCACCCCCGUCGCACCGCAGCCAUUGCCCCUUUCUCUCACCCACUUACCUGUCAUCGUAGCAGAAAUCAGCACUCAGGGUGUUGAGAUACAAGGCGAGCCCCAGAGCGCUGCUCACCAACUCUGCAAUCAUCUCUCCACCGCCUUCCCUCCGGCUUGGCUCCCAGCGCGAGCGCAGCAGCGGCAACAAAAAACAGAAGCAUCAAUCCCCACCUUCCGCCGCCUUCUCCUCCUUGGCUGCACUUUUCCCCGGCUUCCCCGCCCGCCUCCUCGUCCUCCCUCCUCUCCUUCUUCCGAUCCCGGGCUCCUCCUCGGGGCGCCGGGCUCCGCUGUUCCUGCGUGCUCCGGGGGUUGCGGGCUCACACCGCUCUCCCCAUACCCGACAACCGCGAGAGGCAAGCGGCGAUCGGCUUCACGCCCCCCGGCGGAGAAUCGGGGCUUGUCCUUUUCCCGCGGCUCGCGGUCCCCACCCUAACCCAUGGCACUUUGGGACGCCCUAAGAUUUUACAACUUCAAAAGUAUUUAAAACUUAGCCUGCAAAAUAAAAACAUCUUCAUAAAAGUUAUGAAGACCCCGUUCUAAAGUAUACAAGCUAAAGAACUGAUUAUGUACCACAAAAGCUGUGAAGCUGAGAUCUUAAUUUUCUUGGCACUGGGUUGCAGCCCUUGGGUUGAAGAGAGCAAACGGCUGCUGAGGGCCAUGGCCAUGCACAAGGAACAACAAAUGGUCUUAAAACUCAUGGAAUGUUGUCCACUGGUUACCACAGCCACGCUGGAUUUUCCUCGGUAGGGAAUGACCCCGAGGAUCACGUGUCCUGAGGACUUCAUGCUGUAAUGGAGUUCUGCUCUGCUUGCUG
rnacentral:lncRNA from 1 species